GUCCACGCUUAUCGGUUGUUGUUAUAUAGCUGCUGGAUCGGUGGCUGCUGAUCCGAGAGAGAAAGGUUUCGCGGGUCUGUAGCUCAGUCGGUUAGAGCACCGUCUUGAUAAGGCGGGGGUCGUUGGUUCGAAUCCAACCAGACCCACCAAGGUUUCCUGAGAGGGAAAUGGGGGUGUAGCUCAG
rnacentral:misc_RNA from 1 species